rnacentral:rRNA from 1 species
GACGAACGCUGGCGGCGUGCUUAACACAUGCAAGUCGAGCGGUAAGGCCCUUCGGGGUACACGAGCGGCGAACGGGUGAGUAACACGUGGGUAACCUGCCCUGUACUCUGGGAUAAGCCCGGGAAACUGGGUCUAAUACCGGAUAUGACCUUCUGUCGCAUGAUGGAGGGUGGAAAGUUCCGGCGGUAUGGGAUGGACCCGCGGCCUAUCAGCUUGUUGGUGGGGUAAUGGCCUACCAAGGCGACGACGGGUAGCCGGCCUGAGAGGGUGAUCGGCCACACUGGGACUGAGACACGGCCCAGACUCCUACGGGAGGCAGCAGUGGGGAAUAUUGCACAAUGGGCGAAAGCCUGAUGCAGCGACGCCGCGUGAGGGAUGACGGCCUCGGUUGUAAACCUCUUCAGCAGGGACGAAGCGCAAGUGACGGUACCUGCAGAAGAAGCACCGGCUAACUACGUGCCAGCAGCCGCGGUAAUACGUAGGGUGCGAGCGUUGUCCGGAAUUAUUGGGCGUAAAGAGCUCGUAGGCGGUUUGUCGCGUCGGCCGUGAAAACUUGGGGCUUAACCCCGAGCCUGCGGUCGAUACGGGCAGACUUGAGUUCGGCAGGGGAGACUGGAAUUCCUGGUGUAGCGGUGAAAUGCGCAGAUAUCAGGAGGAAACACCGGUGGCGAAGGCGGGUUCUCUGGGCCGAUACUGACGCUGAGGAGCGAAAGCGU